GAUGAACGCUGGCGGCGUGCUUAACACAUGCAAGUCGAACGGUGAAGCAGGAGCUUGCUCCUGUGGAUCAGUGGCGAACGGGUGAGUAACACGUGAGCAACCUGCCCCUGACUCUGGGAUAAGCGCUGGAAACGGCGUCUAAUACUGGAUAUGUGAUGUGACCGCAUGGUCUGCAUCUGGAAAGAAUUUCGGUUGGGGAUGGGCUCGCGGCCUAUCAGCUUGUUGGUGAGGUAAUGACUCACCAUGGCGUCGACGGGUAGCCGGCCUGAGAGGGUGACCGGCCACACUGGGACUGAGACACGGCCCAGACUCCUACGGGAGGCAGCAGUGGGGAAUAUUGCACAAUGGGCGGAAGCCUGAUGCAGCAACGCCGCGUGAGGGAUGACGGCCUUCGGGCUGUAAACCUCUUUUAGCAGGGAAGAAGCGAAAGUGACGGUACCUGCAGAAAAAGCACCGGCUAACUACGUGCCAGCCGCCGCAGUAA
rnacentral:rRNA from 1 species